rnacentral:rRNA from 1 species
UACGGAGGGGGCUAGCGUUGUUCGGAAUUACUGGGCGUAAAGCGCGCGUAGGCGGACCUGCAAGUCGGGGGUGAAAGCCCGAGGCUCAACCUCGGAACUGCCUUCGAUACUGCGGGUCUCGAGUCCGGGAGAGGUGAGUGGAAUUCCUAGUGUAGAGGUGAAAUUCGCAGAUAUCAGGAGGAACACCAACGGCGAAGGCAGCUCGCUGGGACGGUACUGACGCUAAGGCGCGAAAGCGUGGGGAGCGAACAGG